rnacentral:rRNA from 1 species
UACGAAGGGGGCUAGCGUUGCUCGGAAUUACUGGGCGUAAAGGGCGCGUAGGCGGAUGUCUAAGUCGGGGGUGAAAGCCCAGGGCUCAACCCUGGAAUUGCCUUCGAUACUGGACAUCUUGAGUACGGGAGAGGUGAGUGGAACUCCGAGUGUAGAGGUGAAAUUCGUAGAUAUUCGGAAGAACACCAGUGGCGAAGGCGACUCACUGGCCCGUUACUGACGCUGAGGCGCGAAAGCGUGGGGAGCAAACAGG